AUUGAACGCUGGCGGCAGGCCUAACACAUGCAAGUCGAGCGGAGCGGCGGACGGGUGAGUAAUGCCUGGGAAUCUGCCUGGUAGUGGGGGAUAACGUCCGGAAACGGGCGCUAAUACCGCAUACUAUCAGAUGAGCCUAGGUCGGAUUAGCUAGUUGUUGGGGUAAAGGCCUACCAAGGCGACGAUCCGUAACUGGUCUGAGAGGAUGAUCAGUCACACGGGAACUGGGACACAGUCCAGACGCAUACAGGAGGCAGCAAUGGGGGAUAUUGGACGAUGGGCGGAAGCCUGAUGCAGCGGCGCCGCGUGAAGGAUGAAGGCUUUCGGAUUAUAAUCCUCUUUCGCUAUCGAACGGGUAGGUGGAGAAGAAGCGCCGGCUAACUACGUGCCAGCAGCCGCGGUAAUAC
rnacentral:rRNA from 1 species